rnacentral:rRNA from 1 species
UUUAUGGAGAGUUUGAUCCUGGCUCAGGAUGAACGCUGGCGGCGUGCCUAAUACAUGCAAGUCGAGCGAACAGACGAGGAGCUUGCUCCUUUGACGUUAGCGGCGGACGGGUGAGUAACACGUGGGUAACCUACCUAUAAGACUGGGAUAACUUCGGGAAACCGGAGCUAAUACCGGAUAAUAUUUU